rnacentral:rRNA from 1 species
UACGAAGGGGGCUAGCGCUGUUCGGAAUUACUGGGCGUAAAGCGCACGUAGGCGGGUAUUUAAGUCAGGGGUGAAAUCCCAGAGCUCAACUCUGGAACUGCCUUUGAUACUGGGUACCUAGAGUAUGGAAGAGGUGAGUGGAAUUCCGAGUGUAGAGGUGAAAUUCGUAGAUAUUCGGAGGAACACCAGUGGCGAAGGCGGCUCACUGGUCCAUUACUGACGCUGAGGUGCGAAAGCGUGGGGAGCAAACAGG